rnacentral:lncRNA from 1 species
UUCAGAGAAGUGGAAUAAUCGUAUCGCUGAUCUAUGUAAACAAAUUGAAGAAUUGUCUGAAAGAAAAUAUGACAUGAACUUAUGAAUUCAACAGGUGAAGGUUUACAACUUGAUAAAUCAGCUUUGUGAGCUCGAGCUGUAAAAGCCAAAGGUCCGGUGAUGAUCCUAUACCCUUUUUUCCAGUCUCAUGUUGAAGAUUUUUAUGUAGAAGGCCUUCCCAAAGGAUUUUUUUUUUUUUUUUUGAGAUGGAGUUUUCACUCUUAUCGCCCAGGCUGGGGUGCAAUGGCGCAACCUUGCUGGUCACUGCAGCCUCUGCCUCCUGGGUUCAAGAAAUUCUCCUGCCUUGGCCUCCCAAGUCGCUGGAAUUACAGGUGCCCACCACCACACCAGGCUACUUUUUGUAUUUUUAGUGGAGAUGGGGUUUCACCAUGUUGGCCGGGCCAGUCUCAAACUCCUGACGUCAAGUGAUCUUCCCGCCUCGACUCCUGACAUCAAGUGAUCUUUCCGCCUCGGCCUCCCAGAGUGCUGAGAUUACAGACGUGAACCCAUGCCUGGCCAGGAAUUUUGUUUUUUAGGAAGGCUUUCUACUACUGGAAUUCCUGGCCUUGAGAGGUUGUUACUUUCGAAGGAAAGGAUUUUUUUG